rnacentral:rRNA from 1 species
GAUGAACGCUGGCGGCGUGCCUAAUACAUGCGAGUCGAGCGAACGGACGAGAAGCUUGCUUCUCUGAUGUUAGCGGCGGACGGGUGAGUAACACGUGGAUAACCUACCUAUAAGACUGGGAUAACUUCGGGAAACCGGAGCUAAUACCGGAUGAUAUUUUGAACCGCAUGGUUCAAAAGUGAAAGACGGUCUUGCUGUCACUUAUAGAUGGAUCCGCGCUGCAUUAGAUAGUUGGUAAGGUAACGGCUUACCAAGGCAACGAUGCAUAGCCGACCUGAGAGGGUAAUCACCCACACGGGAACUAAACCACGGUCCAGACUCCUACAGGAGGCACCAGAAGGGAAUCUUCCGCAAUGGGCGAAAGCCUGACGGAGCAACGCCGCGUGAGUGAUGACGGUCUUCGGAUCGUAAAACUCUGUUAUUAGGGAAGAACAUAUGUGUAAGUAACUGUGCACAUCUUGACGGUACCUAAUCAGAAAGCCACGGCUAACUACGUG